UGAGGCACUGCUCUGGGGUGUGCCUGAGCCCACCCCACAACAGCCCAGCUGUUGUUUUCACGGCUCCGGGACCAGGCGGAUCCUCAGCCAAGAGCUUCCCAGGAGAGCCCUCAUCUUCAACCCCUAGUGGCGACCAGAGCCAGCCCGGGCAGGAGGGGAAGGAAGGCGGCCGCGGCCCCGGGGAAGCCAUCCUGGCAGCUUGGCCACUGGCCCGGCUCCUGUCUGACCAGGAAAGGCAUCAAAGCCGGACUCGGAUGGAGGCUGGAAAACCCCGAGACUUCUGCUGGACUCGACCCAGCCACACACCAGGCUGUGCUCAAGGCCACGGAAUGAGCCUUGACCCUGGCCCCAGACGGAGCCCAGACCUUGCUGGUCACAGGCUGAGCCCUGCUGGCAAUAUGAUGUACUAGAUCCCUUAAAAGGCCUUCCAGCAACAACCAACUUCUGGAUGAAUUA
rnacentral:lncRNA from 1 species